rnacentral:rRNA from 1 species
UAAUACAGAGGGUGCGAGCGUUAAUCGGAAUAACUGGGCGUAAAGGGCGCGUAGGCGGUAAGAGGAGUGUGAUGUGAAAGCCCCGGGCUUAACCUGGGAAGUGCAUCGCAAACGCUCUAACUAGAGUAUAUGAGAGGGUGCUGGAAUUUCCGGUGUAGCGGUGAAAUGCGUAGAUAUCGGAAGGAACGUCGAUGGCGAAGGCAGGCACCUGGCAUAAUACUGACGCUGAGGCGCGAAAGCGUGGGUAGCGAACAGGAUUAGAUACCCUGGUAGUCCACGCUGUAAACGAUGAGGACUAAAUGUUGAUUGGGGAACCAAGCAGUAUUGAAGCUAACGCGAUAAGUCUUCCGCCUGGGAAGUACGGCCGCAAGGUUG